UACGUAGGGUGCGAGCGUUAAUCGGAAUUACUGGGCGUAAAGCGUGCGCAGGCGGUUCGUUGUGUCGGCGGUGAAAGCCCCGGGCUUAACCUGGGAAUGGCCGUUGAAACUGGCGAACUGGAGUGUGGCAGAGGGGGGUGGAAUUCCGCGUGUAGCAGUGAAAUGCGUAGAGAUCGGGAGGAACAUCUGUGGCGAAGGCGGCCAUCUGGACCAGCACUGACACUGAGGCACGAAAGCGUGGGGAGCAAACAGG
rnacentral:rRNA from 1 species